rnacentral:rRNA from 1 species
UACGUAGGGUGCAAGCGUUGUCCGGAAUUAUUGGGCGUAAAGAGCUCGUAGGCGGUUUGUCGCGUCUGCUGUGAAAACCCGAGGCUCAACCUCGGGCCUGCAGUGGGUACGGGCAGACUAGAGUGGCGGUAGGGGAGAAUGGAAUUCCUGGUGUAGCGGUGGAAUGCGCAGAUAUCAGGAAGAACACCCGUGGCUAAGGCGGCUCUCUAGUACGGUACUGACGCUGAGACGCGAAAGCGUGGGGAGCGAACAGG